rnacentral:lncRNA from 1 species
AAACCAAUUGAUGAUGGAUCCCUCCAUUAAAUGGUUCUACAAAUUUUGGCACUUAAUUUCUGAUGCUUCAACCAUAAUGCUUUAAAAUAAAACAAUACAAUACAAUAAAAUAAAAUAAAAUAAUGUUUAAACCUUCGGUUAAAAUAAAAUUGUACAACCUCUCAUACGCUUGUUGCUUUAUAAAUCAUGAAGCAAAACAAGGAACA